GCCUCACUGCGCCCCGUUAGUUGGCCUCGCGACAGAACCCUCGCCACCCAUCGCAGCGACCUCCCCGUGCGCUGCCCCUCUCGCCGGCCUCCCUCCGGCCCUCCCUGUGCGCUGCCCCUCCUCUUGCUGCAGCGCCUGCAGCCCAGAUAUGGAACUGGGAAUCCUGGGCCGACUCUGCUUUCCGGCGGCUGGGUCGAUCGAUCGAGGCGGCUGCCGAUGUCUGGAUCAACAGAACGGAUCCUCGACCGUGCAUCAUUGGAGAAUCUAAGUGGGCGACUUCGUGGGCGAGUGAGUUAAUUCGGUCUUCAAUCAAGCAAUCAAUCGUCCGUUUCUGGUAGCAUCAACUCCAAUGGGGUCCGCUCACCGGCGGCCGACGUGCAGGUACUGGUUGCUGUGGUCUUUCCAGAUUCUGAUUGUCUAGGGAAUUUUCAAAACCGCAUCUGGUAUAUUGAUCCCAAGAAUUUUGAUAUCACCAUUUCCAAUGGCUGCUGGUCAGCAUUUUAUAUAGAACAGCGGAGUAAAAAUGCAGAAACGUAACGAUGGCAAUGGUCCUUCACGGAAGGAGAAGAUCAGCUAAUGGAGGUAUAGAUGAAAUCUGAUGAUGGAAGCAUCAUGUUGCUUGUUUCAGUAUCCACGUGCCUUUAGCCUUUCUUUUUCAUUCUGAAUGGGAGAAUGCAUGCUUGUUGGCCAUCACGUGCACAUCUUCUCAGGUAAAGUAGCUCUAUUUACUUUUCCCUCUAAUUGUUUAUGUUCUCCUUUUUCUGGUAAGGAGGGUAAGUUAAAGCAGAGGAUACAUAACACAGUGUUGUAAAUCAGGGAAAAAGCAGCAGCAGUAUGAAAGCAUAGGUCUUUUGCCAAGAGGUAAACAUGAACCUUGCGAGCUGUUAGUCAUGGGAAACAUACCUUUCAUUGCUAAACUAAAAUAUACCUUUUGCCUGAGGAAUUAGAUUCAGUUUUUCUUAUAAUCUUAUGGUAAAGAUGCUAAUGCAUUGCUGAUGAUUGACCCACUGUGGCGUUUUUAACUAUCGUUAUGAUUACUACAAGUGAGUUCAGGUUUGCAAAAUUGAUGUAUGUUUAUUGGAAAAUUGUAUGAUAUUCUUUCUCAGUGAAUGGUGUUCUCAAUCCAGAAGGAAGCUUCUUUGCUGAUCGUGUCUCGUCUUUAAAUUGAGUGAUUAAACUAAGAGAACGAUCCUUUACACAAUCAGGUUUACUUGGGUGAAAAUAGGUAUAGCCACUGCAUUAUUUUUGGGGCAUCACUUAUCCAGUGAAAUUUGUAUAAUUUAUUUUGAAAUUGCAAACAAGCCAAGGUUUUGUCAAUACCAAGUUGCUCUAUUUAAAAAAAGAAACAAAGAAAUACAAUCUAGCAUGCCGUGGAGAUGAUAAAUCAGACUUAUGAGAUGAAGUUUUGCUGUUAGAUGGGCACACCCUGUGCAACUACUUAUUUUUAUUUGGCUGUUUGCUUUGGAUAUGACACCUUUCUUUCUAUCAAAGCAUGCUGAUGGAUUGUCCUGGUUUCAUUUGUCUAAUGGAAUUUUUUUCCUACCAAAAUCAAUGCUUCAUUAUUAGUUCAACAUAUACUCAUAUAAGACGCGAGAGGAAGAUAAAUGUACAUAUUUCCAGUUGAGCUACAGACCAAUAUAUGGAAUUUGUAUGUUCUGAGUCGAACAUGGCUCUGAUUUUCUAGGAAAUCACCAGGGAGUAGAGAGUAGUUCCACUUUUAUGUUUCAUAAAGGUUUGUAAACGCAAAGGGAGGGACGACCAUGUGAGUGGAAAGAAGGAAUUCUUGGUUUCUUGCCAGUUGUAAUUGUACCAUUUGAUAAAAACAGCCGUGGUUUCUGUUUAUCUCGUU